rnacentral:rRNA from 1 species
GCGGAUCCGCGGCCGCUGCAGAGUUUGAUCCUGGCUCAGAAUCAACGCUGGCGGCGCGCUUAACACAUGCAAGUCGCACGAGAAAGGGGAGCAAUCCCUGAGUAAAGUGGCGCACGGGUGAGUAACACGUGGGUUAUCCGCCCUCUGGUGGGGAAUAACCCUGGGAAACCGGGGCUAAUACCGCAUAAGUCCGAGAGGAGAAAGCCGAAAGCGCCAGAGGAGGAGCCCGCGGCCGAUUAGCUAGUUGGUGAGGUAAUGGCUCACCAAGGCGACGAUCGGUAGCCCGCCUGAGAGGGCACACGGCCACACUGGCACUGAAACACGGGCCAGACUCCUACGGGAGGCAGCAGUGGGGAAUCUUGCACAAUGGGGGAAACCCUGAUGCAGCGACGCCCCGUGACAUGAAGCCCCUCGGGGUGUAAAGCUCUUUCGGCAGGGACAAUUAUGACGGUACCUGCAGAAGAAGCUUCGGCUAACUACGUGCCAACAACCCCCGUAAUACGUAAGCAACAAACCUUUUUCGGAAUU